AACACCCAAAUGAACUUUUUGA
rnacentral:miRNA from 1 species